AUUGAACGCUGGCGGCAGGCCUAACACAUGCAAGUCGAACGAGUGGCGGACGGGUGAGUAAUGUCUGGAAAACUGCCUGAUGGAGGGGGGUAACUACUGGAAACCGUAUCUAAUACCGCAUACCAUCAGAUUUGCCCAGAUGGGAUUAGCUGGUUGGUGGGGUAACGGCUCACUAAGGUGACGAUCCCUAGCUGUUCUGAGAGGAGGACCGGCCACACUGGAGCUUGGACAAGGUCAAGACUCCUACGGGAGGCAGCAGUGGGGAAUAUUGGACAAGGGGCGCAAGCCUGAAGCAGCCAUGCCGCGUGUAUGAGGAAGGCCUGCGGGUUUGAAGGUCCUUUCAGCGGGGAGGCGUUACCCGCAGAAGAAGCACCGGCUAACUACGUGCCAGCAGCCGCGGUAAUUC
rnacentral:rRNA from 1 species